GCCAGAGUGGUGUAGAGGUUAGCAUAGGAGCCUGUGGAGCUUCUGGGUCUGGUUCAAGUCCGGGCUCUGGCC
rnacentral:tRNA from 8 species